rnacentral:rRNA from 1 species
GGGUGCAAUCAUACUAGCGUUAAUGCACUGGAUCCCAUCGGAACUUCACAGUUAAGAACACUUGCGCUAGAGUAGUACUGGGAUGGGUGACUUCCUGAGAAGUCCUAAUGUUGCACCCU